AUGACAGAAAGCCAUGGGGAUGUACUUAAAUGUCUGCUGGUGACCUCCAGGAUAGGUCAAUGGCGUUUAGAAGGGGCAUCUGAGCAUCUGCUUUACAGUCAAACAGACUUUGUUUUUAAUCCUGGAUCUCCUCCCCAUAAGCUGUUCUGUGUCAGCAUAUCACUCAUCUGUCUUAGCUUCAAUUUCUCCAGCUGCAAAUUGGAAACAACAGUAGCUACCUUGCAGAAUGUUAAAGACAUUAUUACGCAUUCUUUCAAUGGCAUGGGUAGUAGCCAGUACUAUUUUAAAAUAUCCAAUGUUCUAGGAAAAGGCUCAUGCUAUAAAGGUCUCACUUCAUCAUCCAUGCUGGAGUGGAAUGGUGCAAUCACAGCUCGCUGUGGCCUCGACCUCCCAGGGUCAGGUGAUCCUCCCACCUCAUCUUCCCAAGUAUCUGGGACUACAGGUCCAUAA
rnacentral:lncRNA from 13 species